AUCCCCACAGACGGCGCCA
rnacentral:siRNA from 1 species